rnacentral:rRNA from 1 species
UGAAGCGACGUGCUCGUGGAGCUGAAAUCAGUCGAAGAUACCAGCUGGCUGCAACUGUUUAUUAAAAACACAGCACUGUGCAAACACGAAAGUGGACGUAUACGGUGUGACGCCUGCCCGGUGCCGGAAGGUUAAUUGAUGGGGUUAUCCGUAAGGAGAAGCUCCUGAUCGAAGCCCCGGUAAACGGCGGCCGUAACUAUAACGGUCCUAAGGUAGCGAAAUUCCUUGUCGGGUAAGUUCCGACCUGCACGAAUGGCGUAAUGAUGGCCAGGCUGUCUCCACCCGGGACUCAGUGAAAUUGAACUCGCUGUGAAGAUGCAGUGUACCCGCGGCAAGACGGAAAGACCCCGUGAACCUUUACUAUAGCUUGACACUGAACAUUGAGCCUUGAUGUGUAGGAUAGGUGGGAGGCUUUGAAGCGUGGACGCCAGUCUGCGUGGAGCCAUCCUUGAAAUACCACCCUUUAAUGUUUGAUGUUCUAACGUGGACCCGUAACCCGGGUUGCGGACAGUGUCUGGUGGGUAGUUUGACUGGGGCGGUCUCCUCCUAAAGCGUAACGGAGGAGCACGAAGGUCAGCUAAUCCUGGUCGGACAUCAGGAGGUUAGUGCAAUGGCAUAAGCUGGCUUGACUGCGAGCGUGACGGCGCGAGCAGGUGCGAAAGCAGGUCAUAGUGAUCCGGUGGUUCUGAAUGGAAGGGCCAUCGCUCAACGGAUAAAAGGUACUCCGGGGAUAACAGGCUGAUACCGCCCAAGAGUUCAUAUCGACGGCGGUGUUUGGCACCUCGAUGUCGGCUCAUCACAUCCUGGGGCUGAAGUAGGUCCCAAGGGUAUGGCUGUUCGCCAUUUAAAGUGGUACGCGAGCUGGGUUUAGAACGUCGUGAGACAGUUCGGUCCCUAUCUGCCGUGGGCGCUGGAGAAUUGAGGGGGGCUGCUCCUAGUACGAGAGGACCGGAGUGGACGCAUCACUGGUGUUCGGGUUGUCAUGCCAAUGGCACUGCCCGGUAGCUAAAUGCGGAAGAGAUAAGUGCUGAAAGCAUCUAAGCACGAAACUUGCCCCGGGAUGAGUUCUCCCUGAGACUUUGAGUCUCCUGAAGGAACGUUGAAGACGACGACGUUGAUAGGCCGGGUGUGUAAGCGCAGCGAUGCGUUGAGCUAACCGGUACUAAUGAACCGUGAGGCUUAACCUUA